AUGCUGAUUGGAAGGCCAGAAGACGCACAGAAGAGUCAUUGGAAGGUGGAGAUGGUGAAGCCACAGAUUUUGGCUGGUGGAGGACAUACUGACCACCCUUCCUCACUCUGAAGCUGCAUCCACCCUUGGCAUUUUGCUAAGCUGUGUCAACUUCCUGGAAAUGGGCAUACAGUGAGAUACUGCUGCCAGUAAUUUAAUGUUCUUUUUCUAUAGAUGAUUCAAGUGUCUCUGUUUUUCUGUAUUUAAUCCUGUCUCUCUUCUUGACAAAGCCAUUAAGGUAAUUUUUGCUGCUAAUAACUGUAUGUGCUCUCUUUCAUUCAAUUGGGGUGGUUUUUUCUUUUUCUGGUGUCAUUAUAUACAUUCACAGUCUGAGGGACUGCCACAAAGUUAACGAUUUGACACAAUCCACUGUCCACUGUUGCAUACUGCUUAAUGAAACCAGCUGAGUUUCCUUUUCAUAGAAAACUUGUUUACCAAUUUUAAUGGUUUACUGAACUUGACUGCAUUGUUUAAUAACUAGGGUCAAACUGGAAUGUAUACAUUUGACUUUGAAUCUGUCUGUAUGAUUAGAUCGAAUUGACUAUAUAUGUAUGUAUAUAAAUUGGAUGUUCUUUUAAGGUUUGUUUUUUCUGUUGUUGCCUUGAUAUGACUUUAAUUGUGAAU